rnacentral:rRNA from 1 species
GCGGAAGGAUCAUUAUUGAAUGUAAUUCAAAGAGUUGUAGCUGGCACUUCGGUGCAUGUGCACACUUUUUGUUACUACUUUUCCACCUGUGAACCCUUUGUAGACCAUGAACAAACCUCAUCUGAAAAUGAUGGAUUGAAGGCUUUGCUUUUUAACUAAGGCUUCCUUUGCAGUUCAUUGUCUAUGUUUUUACAUACCCUUACAAGUUAAUGAAUGUCAUUUACUGGUCUUUUGACCUUUAAAAAACUAUACAACUUUCAGCAACGGAUCUCUUGGCUCUCGCAUCGAUGAAGAACGCAGCGAAAUGCGAUAAGUAAUGUGAAUUGCAGAAUUCAGUGAAUCAUCGAAUCUUUGAACGCACCUUGCGCUCCUUGGUAUUCCGAGGAGCAUGCCUGUUUGAGUGUCAUUAAAUUCUCAACCUUACCACUUUAUUGUGAAUAAGGCUUGGAUGUGGGGGUUUGUYGGUCUUUCAUUAGAUCGGCUCCUCUUAAAUACAUUAGUGAUAACUUGUAGUUGUCCUAUGGUGUGAUAAUUAUCUACGCCUUGUGCAUGACUACUUUUAAUGGUUGUUGCUUAUAACUGUCUGUUACAAGACAACUUCUUGACUUUUGACCUCAAA